CUUGGUCGACAAUUUUGGCUAAUAAAUUAAAGUCAAGGGCCAUUAUUGACAACAAAUUGUCAACCAGCUAAUCAGCUAUAGUACAUUAGUCUAUUCGGGUUGUACCCUAUAACUCGAAGUCCAAUCUCAACAAUGUACCAAUGGACGGUAAAAAAGCCGUUGAAUCUAAAUCCUAGUUUGGAACAGUAAUCUAAACAACGACCAAAAAGGAAAAGGAAAAGUAGCUGUCCUUUUCUGGUUAAGUUUCAAAAUCUGAUAUUUUCACUUGCGUUAAAGUACAGACAAAUACCUAAUUCUGUACAUAUAAUAAUAAUACUACAUUAAUUAACGGGCAUCAACGGGCUGAAGGAAGAUUCAGAUUAGCUUAUUCUUUUCUAGUUUGAUCUGUAAGUUAUAUGACUUUACAUUUUAUUUUGAUAUAUUCUGCUAUCUAUGGGAGUUUAGGGAAAGAGACGAUAAUAUUCUUGUGUUGUUUUUGUUUAUUUGGGCUAAUUGAUAGAAAAUUUGAGCUAAAAAUUUGUUUUUGCAAAGUGGAUUUCUGUUAUAUCUUGUUGGAUAUUCGUUGAUCGAUUGAUUAAUUGAGGUGUACUGUUCACUUGUUUUUUUGUGGUAAUUUAGGUUUUCUUGAGGUCUAACAGAAGUUUGGUUUUUUCUUUUUGUUCCUCUUUCAGUUUUACAGGCUAUAGAUUUGCAUUGAUAGGGGGAAAAUAUCAAGAAUGUAAUCUAUAAAGGUACUAAUUUAGAAUCAGUAAACGGUUUAGUAUUGGUUUCGUAUUUUUGUAUCUUCUUAUCCGCAGAUUUCUUUUACUAUAUGUUGUUUCUUUCCCUUCAGUUAUUCUAUCAUCUUAUUUUGCUUGCUAUCGUUGCGGUUUGUUUUUCCGUUUCUUUUUCGUUUUUCUUUGAGACAGGAGUUUAUCAAAAACAAUCUCUUUAUUUUUGUUGGGUAGGGGUAAAAUCUGCAUACACUCUACCCUCCCCGGCCCCCCUUUGUGGGUUUACGAGCGCGUUGUUGUUGUUGGUUCUUUUGUACUUGUAUUGUCUUUGUGUUUUUAAUUAGGUAAAGCAUAUUAUAGCUGAAAUAAGAAAAAACCUUGAAUUUAAGGUGUAAAUAAAGUAGAAACAACAACAACAACCACUCAGUAUAAUCUCACAAGUGGGCUCUCGGGAGGGUAGGAUGUAGAGAUUGGUUCCAAUAGACCCUCGGCUAAAGAAGGUGAAAGAAACCUGAUAGCAAGAAAUAUCAAGACAAAUAAUUAGAAAACUAAAUCGAAGAUAGCAACAGAGAAUAUGAAAGGGGUACCGAUAGCAAGUAAUAGCAAGAUAAUAUAUUUAGAAUCCUAAAUCCAAGGCAGCGAACGAGAACACGAACGAAGUAAUGUUAGCAAACUAUGGAAUUACCAAUGGCAAGUAAGACAGGCGAAUGUAGCAAACUAAGGAAAAAAAGAGUACCGUACUAGCACUAAAUACUAUCAAACUAGAGAAGACAAAGGUAAAUGCAUGAUUACCUAUUAACUUUCUAUCCUAAUCUUCAACCUCCACGCCCUUCUAUCCAGGGUCAUGUCCUUGGUUAGCUCAAGUUGCGCCAUGUCCCGCCUGAAACCCCUCUCCCCAAGACUUUUUUGGCCUACCUCUACCCCUCCUCUACCUCCCAAGUCCAACCUCUCACAUCUCCUGGGGCAUCUGUGCUUCUCCUCUUAACAUGCCCGAACCAUCUCAGCCUUCUCCUCUUAAAAAGAUCUCUUUUUGUGUUACUUUACUCUCAGCUAGUUUUCUUUCCAGAACAGUUCUAAGUGGAUUCUUACAAAAAUUGUAAUAAUAGAAUUAGCUGUGCUGAAUCGAUGACCUUGUUAUGUAACACCUGCGGUUUCUUGUAUCUGCAUAUUUAAGGAAAUAUUUCCAAAUUUGACAGAAUGGAGUAUGAAUUAUUGAUGUUAAAAUGAUGGUUACCUACUUUGUUCUGCAGGUUGUGCAAAUAAUAGUCUUUUAUCAAACCUCAAAUCAGCUUGUCAGUAUUCGGUGGACAUGAUCUAUGUUCAAGUAAGAUACUUGUGGGAAAAAAAUAAUUAGGAACUGUAAUCCUUUUUCUCUCUUUUUUACUUUUGGUUAGGAGAUAUUUAAUUGAUUGAGAUUUCUAUUAGACCAUAAGUUGCAUUCUAUUUGUUAUCUGUUAUUGCUAGUUGUGGUUGUGGAGCCAAGAAUACAUAAUAUGUUCUUACAAGAUAAGGAAAAAAAUGCAACUGCAUAUGUAGCUUAUGAAUAUCUAAAGAAAAAUAGAAAUGAUAAUAAAUGGAAAUAAGUUCUGGGGCUAAGAGGCUAAGAGGCGCUUUUGGGAGGGAUUGGAUGAUCUGGUGAGUAGUAUUCCCCAAUCUGAGAAGUUAGUUAUUGGAGGGGACUUUAAUGGUCAUAUUGGG
rnacentral:lncRNA from 1 species